GGCCCCAUCGUCUAGUGGCCUAGGACAGCGGACUCUCAUUCCGCAAACGGGGGUUCGAUUCCCCCUGGGGCUACCA
rnacentral:tRNA from 7 species